rfam:Peregrinibacteria bacterium GW2011_GWA2_44_7 TW70_C0016, whole genome shotgun sequence.
AAUCAAGUUUUAAAAAGGGCAAAGAGUGGAUGCCUCGACUCAAAGUUCCGAUGAAGGACGUGACUAACUGCGAUAAGCCUCGGCGAGCUGUUAAGUAAGCUUUGACCCGGGGAUUUCCGAAUGGGGGAACCCAACUCCGGUAAUGCGGAGUUACCCUGCAAAUUUGCGGGAGGACACACAGGGAACUGAAACAUCUAAGUACCUGUGGAAAAGAAAUCAACCGAGAUUCCCUUAGUAGUGGCGAGCGAAAAGGGAACAGCCUAAACCACUUCGGCGCGAUAGGCGCCAGCCGUUUCCGAGGUGGUGUUGUAAGACAUGUUUCCCAAUUCCUGGCGGAAUUGGCAAUCGACUGCAUUGUUAACCAAAGGCUCUGGAAAGUGCCGCCAUAGUGGGUAAUAGCCCCGUCGGUAAAAGCAAUGUAUUUGGUUGGAUGUGUUCUUAAGUAGGGUCGGACACGUGAAAUCCGGCCUGAAUCUAGGAGGCCCACCUUCUAAGGCUAAACAGACUUUGAGAUCUAUAGUGAACUAGUACCGCGAGGGAAAGGUGAAAAGCACCCCGGGAAGGGGGAUGAAAUAGACUCUGAAACUCUUUGCUUAAAAGGAGUAGGAGCCUGUCUUCGGAUGGGUGACUGCGUACUUUUUGUAGAACGGGCCAACGAGUUAGCUGUAUGGGGCAUGGUUAAGGGAGAUUCACCCGUAGCCACAGCGAAAGCGAGUCUUAAACGGCGCAUUCGUCUCAUGCACUAGACCCGAAACCAGGUGAGCCACCCAUGGCCAGGCUGAAGGUUACCUAACAGUAACUGGAGGGCCGAACCCAACUAUGUUGCAAGAUAGUGGGAUGAGCUGUGGGUAGCGGAGAAAUUCCUAUCGAACCUGGAGAUAGCUGGUUCUCCUCGAAAUAACUUUAGGGUUAGCCUUGUGCGUUAAGUAGCGGGGGUAGAGCACUGUUCCGGCUAGGGGGCGAAAUAAGUCUACCAAACCGAGACAAACUUCGAAUACCGCUAUGUAUUUCACAGGAGUCAGUCCGUGACAGCUAAGUGCCACGGACGAAAGGGAAACAGCCCAGACCGUCGUCUAAGGUCCCUAAUGGAGAUUAAGUGUUAAAGGAGGUCGGAUUCCUCAAACAACCAGGAGGUUGGCUUAGAAGCAGCCAUCCUUUAAAGAGUGCGUAACAGCUCACUGGUCUACUGCCCCGUUCGCGGGGCGGGAUCCGGCGCCGAAAAUCUAACGGGGCUCAAAUCUUCAACCGAAGACACGGAUUUAAUUGCACUUCGGUGCAGUUGAAUGGUAGAGGAGCGUUCCAUUCAGCGUCGAAGCUGUGUUGUAAAGCAUGGUGGAGCGGAUGGAAGUGAAAAUGUUGGCAUAAGUAACGUAAACCAAGUGAAAAACUUGGUCACCGUAAACCCAAGGUUUCCCAAGCCACGUUAAUCGACUUGGGGUUAGUCGGUCCUAAGGUCAACCCGAAAGGGGUCGCCGAUGGACAACAGGUUAAUAUUCCUGUACAAUGACUAUUUCGCCAAAGCAAAACUGGAAGCCCCUGUUCGUAAAUGAAGUCCGCAAGGAUUUCAGGCGUGUUCAGGUCAGUGGAAGGUGGCGCUAGCUCAGGGAGGACGCCUCAGGAUAAGGAGAGCGCGUUAAUGAAUUCGCGUCUAAGCUUUGAGUGUAUACCAUUCAUGAAAAUCAGAAUGGUCCCUCUUUCGGGAGGAAGCACGAGAAGUUAUGGAAAGUUCCCGUUCGCGGGGAUGAUUCUCUUGAUUUCAGGGGACAAGAAAAUUCUCGGAGCGAGAAAUAGGCGUUACCGUACCGUAAACCAACGCUGGUGGGUGGGUAGAGUAUACUCAGGUGAUCGGGAUAACCAUCGUUAAGGAACUCGGCAAAACAGCGACCGUAACUUCGGGAUAAGGUCUUCCAGUGCCAUUUUGAAUAAAAAUGGUGUUGGACGCAGCGAAAGAGCCCAUGCAACUGUUUAUCAAAAACACAGGUCUCUGCUAACUCGAAAGAGGAGGUAUAGGGGCUGACUCCUGCCCAGUGCCAGAAGGUCACGUGGAGAGGUUAGUCACUUCGGUGGCGAAGCUUUGAAAUUAAGCCCUGGUGAACGGCGGCCGUAACUAUAACGGUCCUAAGGUAGCGAAAUUCCUUGUCUGGUAAGUUCAGACCCGCACGAAUGGAGUAAUGAUAUGGGCACUGUCUCGACGAUGGACCCGGUGAAAUUGUAGUAUCGGUAAAAAUACCGAUUAACCGCAGCAAGACGGAAAGACCCCGUGCAGCUUUACUACAGAUUGACAUUGUAUUGAGAUAGUACUUGUGCAGGAUAGGUGGGAGACUUUGAAGCUCUGACGCUAGUCAGGGUGGAGUCAUCCUUGAGAUACCACCCUUGUACUGUUUUGAUACUAACCCCUAAUGGGGGACAGUGUUUGUUGGGUAGUUUAUCUGGGGCGGAUGCCUCCUAAAGAGUAACGGAGGCGCGCGAUGGUUCCCUAGCGCUGGAUGGAAAUCAGCGCGAUAGUGUAUUCGCAUAAGGGAGCUUAACUGUAAGACUUACAAGUCGAGCAGAUACGAAAGUAGGCGAAAGUGAUCCGGCACCACCACGUGGUUGGGGUGUCGCUCAACGGAUAAAAGUUACGCCGGGGAUAACAGGCUUAUCGGGCCCAAGAGUUCAUAUCGACGGCCCGGUUUGGCACCUCGAUGUCGGCUCAUCGCAUCCUGGGGCUGGAGAAGGUCCCAAGGGUUUGGCUGUUCGCCAAUUAAAGCGGUACGCGAGCUGUGAGACAGUUCGGCCCCUAUCUGCUGUGGUUGAAGGAUUUUUGAGAAGAGCUGCUCCUAGUACGAGAGGACCGGAGUGGACGAACCUCUAGUGUAUCUGUUGUCGCGUCAGCGGCAUUGCAGAGUAGCUAUGUUCGGAAGGGAUAACCGCUGAAAGCAUCUAAGCGGGAAGCCUCCUUCAAGAAAGAGAUCCCCAUAAGCCUCCCGGUAGACUACCGGGUUGAUAGGCUGCAGGUGUACGCACAGAGAUGUGUUUAGCCGAGCAGUACUAAUAGGCGAUUGACUUUUUAGU